rnacentral:rRNA from 1 species
AGCAGCCGCGGUAAUUCCAGCUCCAAUAGCGUAUAUUAAAGUUGUUGCAGUUAAAAAGCUCGUAGUUGAAUUUCGGGGUUAGUAGGUUGGUCGUGCCACCGGUAUGUACUGGCUCUACUGAUCCCUCCUUCUUGUAGAACCGUAAUGCCAUUAACUUGGUGUUGCGGGGAAACAGGACUGUUACUUUGAAAAAAUUGGAGUGUUUAAAGCAGGCUAACGCUUGAAUACAUUAGCAUGGAAUAAUGAAAUAGGACGCUCGAUCCUAUUUUGUUGGUUUCUAGGAUUGACGUAAUGAUUAAUAGGGAUAGUUGGGGGCAUUAGUAUUCAAUUGUCAGAGGUGAAAUUCUUGGAUUUAUUGAGGACUAACUACUGCGAAAGCAUUUGCCAGGAUGUUUUCAUUAACCAAGAACGAAGUUAGGGGAUCGAAGACGAUCAGAUACCGUCGUAGUCUUAACCAUAAACUAUGCCGACUAGGGAUCGGAUGAUGUUAAUUUUUAAUGACUCAUUCGGCGCCUUACGG